AUUCCACUCAGUGUGGAGAAGAGAAAAGGUGCUGUAGAAAGCGCACCUUAGGCGUUCAUUUUGUUUCAGUGGAGGUGGUACUCAACAGCCUUCAUCGUGAGGCUUAGAAAACACAAAGACAUUAGAAUACCUGGGUUCACUGGGGGUGUUUGGGAUAGGCGGGUGGAGAGGGAGGGGAACCGGGAGGUACAAGUUGGUAUUUAAUGUAGUUUAUUCAAAGAACUUUAGUUCUAAAUAUAAGUUGCAUUAGGUGAUACAUAGGUAAGGGCUUUUUCUCCCCCCCACACACCCUAAGAAUAGUGCUGUAUAUGUGAAAGAGUGGGUGAUAUAUUUGGUUAAGUACUUUUUUGUUUUACCAUGAAACUGAGAUAACUUUGGCCGGGGAAAAAAAAAAUACUUCCUGGACAUCUUGUUUCCUUUUAUCAAGAAGAAGUUGGAGGAUUGUCCUUAUGUCCCUGCUAAAAAACAUUCCAUUGUUAAAAUUUGCACUUUGAAGGUAAGCGUCCUAGGUGGGACCCUCCAGGUGUCUGUGGACUUGUGAUACUAUAUUUUCUAUUCUUGGUAUCAGUUAAAAGUUCAGAUAGGGCCCACAGAAAAAAGACUUUCCAUGCAUUUUCAAAUCUCAGCCAGUCAUAUGUACAUUAUUUUUUUUUAACAUCUACUUGCAUCCUAUUAAUGCCAUCACUUUUUCAUCAUUCCUCAACUACUGUUCACAUUCAUUUAAUGGUUUCUGUAAAGAUUUUUAAAACCGUGGGGAUAUCACUUAACAUUUUUUGAAUUAGAGUCAGGGAAUCAAGCCAUGCUCAAUAUUUAACAAUCACUUCUAUGUGUAUGUGUGUGGAAGAGUGUGUUUUAUUUGUCAUGUAUUGGUACAAGCAGAGCAGUAUAAACUCACAAACACAGAUUUGAAAAUAAUGCACACAUAGUGUUCAAAUUUGAGCCUUUCUCAUGGAUUUUGUGGUGUGGGCCAAUAUGGUGUUUACAUUAUAUAAUUCCUGCUGUGCAAGUAAAGCACACUUUUUUUUCUUUCCCUAAGUGUUUUUUUCCCAUGUAUCCUAUUGUGGAUACUGGUUUUGUUAAUUAUGAUUUUUUCCCUUUUUUCUCUUUUUUAGAAUAUAGCAGUAAUGCUAUUGCUGAAAUGGAUGAUUUCUUUUCAGAAAAAGAAAGGGUCAGAAAGUUUCUCUGGAAAGCAUGACACAAAGUCAUUUUCUUUAGUACUGCCUUUUGAGAAGCUAUACCACCAUAGCAAAUAUGGUAAAUAGAACUUUUAGAAUCUUUGUUAAAUAAGUCUCUUAAUUGAGUUGCUCUAAUGGGCUCCAACCUUUUUUCCCCCUAACCUUUAUUAAUUAGAAUUUUUGUUAUUUUUGCAAGCAUGUUAUGGUCUAUUACCAAAUAUGCAAAUACAAUAUAAAGUUAAUAUUUACUGACUUAUUUAUACGCUAAUGAUGGAAUGACAGUGCAUUGACAUGGCAUCUUUAUUCUAUUGAGAUGACAGGUUUUUUAUUUGCUUAUUAUAUUUCAUUGACAAGCCGUCAAACGUGUCUUAAACAGAGAUGAAGUAGAUUGAGAUUAAGUUUAGAAUGCUCCUUUGUUUUUGGAUAAUUUUACAUAUUUACAUGGUAUAACUGCAUUAAGGCCUUUAUUAGUUUUAAAAUAAUAUAACUAAAUUUUUAUCUAUGCAACUUUUGAAGAUCUAAAUAAUAAGUAAGGUUGAACAUAUAAUAUAUUUUAAGGACUAAAUAGUUGGGAUAGUUUAUAUUUUCUGUGAUAUUCUUUUAAACAAAAUAAUAGGCAGAACAAAGUCAUUGCAAAGACUUGAAUUUUUUUUGUAAAUUUUGAUCCCAUCUUCUAUUGUGCUUUCCCAUUUCACCUUAAUUGCUUUGGUGCCUCUUAAUUCUAUAUAAUUACCAAGUAUAACAGUGGAUUAUUAUAAUUUUUCUUUUAAAGACAACAAUCUAAUAAACUACAAGUAUUUUCCUGGUCCCAUGGCUAACAAUUCUCUCUCCAGGAUACCACUUGUCUGGCUCAUUCUUUAGUUUUUACAACAGAAUAAUUUAACUGUGGAAGUUAAUUGUGGGAAUGAGGGUAGGAUUAAUGUUGCCUUUUUUAAGAAGCAAUGAUCUAUGAUUAUAGGAACUGAGAAAAAAGCAGUGAUAAGUGCAUCUGUUGAGAAAGUGUUAAUUGUGUUCCUCUAAGAUUGAGGCAAUUUGGUUAGUUUGCAUAAAGGGAAGUUUUUAUAAUGAGGUAAGUGUUUAAUGCUUUCAGAGAGAGUGGGUGUAUUCAGGUGUGGUCUUGUCUCUAUAGUGUGGAGGACAGUUUCACCUUCCUGCUUCUGAAAACCCACAGUUUUAAGUAGAUCUAAGUCAACCAAACCUCUGCUUGGGAUAGCUCUUCAAUGACACUAUUUUAUUUUGAACUUGGUCUACACAGCCACUUUCCGUUCUGCUAAAGGAAUUAAAAUGAUAAGUUUCAUCCUUUUCUUCAACUUAGAUCUUUAAAAGGUAUAUCUAUUGCUCUGAGUCAAUAAAAGAAAUAUGGACCAGUAGCUGUGCCAACUUUUUUUUUUUUUUUUUUGCAGUAGAUUGCAGUUGGAAAAAGUGAAGGCUUUUUGCUUGUAAAAACAUUUACUGUCUCCUAGCAAUCUGCAGUGAUGCUAUGCAAGUCUGACAAUAGAUAAAUGUUUUCCAAUGUCAUAAAAUUUUACAGUAAUACAGGAAAGUUACUUAACUGUUUACUUCAGAAGGUAAUGUCCUGAUUUUAGAGUUUUAGAAAGACUCGCCCAUAAACUAACUUCAUGGAAUCAUCCAUUUUUAACAGUAAUAGAGACUUAAAGCCAUUAUUAUUUUGUCCAACGUCUGUAUUUUUCAGAUGGAAAGACUGAGAUGUUGAGAGUUUAAAUAACCUUCCAAAGUCAUAUACAAUUGUUUUAGGUAUUGAGUGGGGACUAAAAUGCUCAACAUUCUCAUUUAAAACCCACUACUUUUUCCAUUGUGGCAUAUUAGCUCACCUAAAGUGCUUAGAGCUGAGGCUCAACUGAUUGGAGGUUCUGGAAAAAAAGCAAGAGCUAUAAAGUAUGUGAAAAAUCACAUGCAUUUUUAAGGUAUAAGCGAUGGGCUACA
rnacentral:lncRNA from 1 species